CUCUGGGCGGCGGGAGGAGCCAAAGGGUGAAAGGGACCAGUGGUUGAGCUGGUCCCUUUCACCCUUUCACCGCCGGCGUGACAGGAGGGAAGAUACCCCUGAAUGCGGUGCUGGGAGCCGGGAGCCAGGUCCUCCUCAGGAAGAUGUGCCCAGCAGCCAAUAGACAUCUGAAUGAGGCCGUGCAACACUCUCCUGGGGAGAUGAGCUCAUCAGAUUACCAGGCUGUGAUGGGCUGCUACAGAGAGAUGAGCUUUUAAUCUCAGCGGCAUGUGCCUGGCUCAGAGUGGAGGAAGAAGCCUGGGAAGGGAAGAGAAUCUCCUUGCUGGGGGCACCCUUUGCAAAACAAGGCUCUUGUAAAGUAAACACCCCUUGAUAUUUCCCCCCACCUCCCCAUGCCCUGCCACCUCCCCAGGAAAAAAUCAUAUAACAUCUCUUCCUCCAUGGUUAGUGACAAAACAACGUCCAUUGGCACAGUGCUCACACCUGUAAUCCCAGCACUCUGGGAGGCCCAGCUGGGUAGAUUGCUUGACCUUAGGAGUUUGAGACCAAUCUGGGCCAGAGCGAGACCCCAUCUCUAAAAAUAGCCGGGCAUUGUGGUGGGUGCAAAAGACUUGGGAGACUGAGGCAAGAAAAUCACUUGAACUCAAGAGUUUGAGGUUGCUGUGAGCUAUGAAACCACAGCAGUCAACCCCAGGGCAACAGAAUGAGACUCUGUCUCUCACACACACACACACACAAAAGGUCCAUCUUUUAUUCUACUCAUUCAUUCAUCCCUCCCAUGAAAGUCUAAAAUCUGUCAUAACCAUGGCUAGAAAAUAAUGGUGUAAGUAUGAUCCUCUGUCUAACACUGGAUCUAACCCUGGUUGUUGUGAGCUAUGACGUCAUAGCACUCUACCCAGGGUGACAGCUUGAGACUCUGUCCCAAAAUAAAUAAAUAAAUGAAGUGCACACAAGUUUUUAGUAUAUUUACUGUAUUAUGCAACUAACACUUCUCAUUCCAAAACAUUUUUAUCACCACAAAAAGAAACCUGAGACCUGUAAGUCCCAACUUUCCCCUUCCCUCCUCACCUGGCAACCACUAAGCUGCUUUCUGUCACCAUGGAUUUGCCUUUUCUUGUCAUUGCCUAUAUAGACUCACACACUAAUGUGGCCUUUGUGCUCAGCUUCUUUCCCUUAGCGUGAUGUUGUCAGAGUUCAUCCUUGCCGCAGCAUGUAUCAGUACGUUCCUACCACACUUCGUUAAUCCAUUCAUCUGUUGACAAACAUUUGGAUUAUUUCUACUUUUUGGCUAUUAUUAAUAGCACUGCUAGGACUAUUUGCUUACAAGUUUUGUGAGAAUGUGCUUUCAAUUCUCAUAGGUGUAUACUGGGGUGGAAAUGCGGGGUCCUACGGUAACUCUGUGUUUAACUUUUUGAGGAACUGCCAGGCUGUUUUCCACAGUAGCUGUACCACUGUUAACAUUCCCACAGGUAAUAUAUGAAGUUUCCUUUCUUUCUUAACCCAAGCAGUCUGAGGGGCUGUUGAGAUAGUCUUAGGUGAACCUACCUUCAAAGAGAAAUGGAUGUUUGCACAGUGCUGGUGAGAAGACACCCGACCCUCAGCAUUGUGCUGGAUGAUCUGUCCAAACCAAAGACAGGAAAGGGGAACUUGCACUUUCUCACCCUCAUCAAUUCGGGGGUUAUGUUUGGUGUUUACGAGAUGGAGAACCAUUUAACAAAUGUUCUCUAUUGCAGAGGAUGUAGGCCUGCACUUAGUCUAUUCCUUAUAAGGCCCUGGGCCUCAGAGGACGGCUGUGGCAAAGACAGUACCCUUUACAGUGUGGAGGGUUGAGGAAUGUGGGAGAGCUUUUCCCUAGAACUGCCCUCUCUUAAUGUUCCCUUCAAAGUGUGCGAUGAUACAAAAUACCGAUGUGGUCAGCUAAUUUAUAAAAAAUAGGCUCAGUGCAUCCUGUUACAGAAAUCCCAUCAGCAGGCCAGGCACGACAGCUAGGAUUUCUCGUAAUCCUAGCACUUUGGGAGGCCAAGAUGUGAGAAUGCUUGAGCCCAGUUCAAAAUUAGCCCAGGCAGCAUAGUUAGACUCUGUAUCUACAAAAAAAUAAAUAAAAAUUAGCCCAGUAUGGUGGCACUUGUCUGUAGUCCCAGCUACUCAGGAAGCUGAGGAGAGAAGAGUGCUUGAGCCCAGGAGUUUAAGGUUGCAGUGAGCUAUGUCCAGUUAAUUACAUAAAAUAUUGUAACUCAUUAUUAUUAUUAGAAAAGCCAUCAUGAUGUUUUCUUUCACAUCCUAAUUUUUUAUAAUCUAAAUACUUUGCAUUUGAAUAUUUCCUUCCAUUUCAAGAUAUUUACAAUUUGUUUCAACAUCUAAGAAUGAUGAGAAAAGAACCAACAUUCCUGAAUCAUACGUGUAGAAAUGUAUGUGUCUUAGGAUUCUGAAAUUCUUUGAGGCAGGCCAUGUGGAUUUCAUGUGUCAACACUGCAUUGGAGGAGGGAGGAAGAUUGGUGAGCUCUCACCUAAUGAGCACAAGGGAAGAGUAUGGCACACUUUCUAGGUGAGGGAACCCAACUACAACGGGGACCUUACUUAACAAACACAACCAUUGUAACCUAAUCAUUUGUACCCUUAUGUUAAUCUGAAAUUUAAAAAAUAAAAAUAUUUGAAGUAUUUUUUAAAAACCAUUGCAUUGGAGGCUCUUACCAGAGCAAUUAGACGAAAAAAAGAAAGAAAAAACCCUAGCAUCUAUAUUAGAAGAGAGGUAAACUCAUCUCAAGAUGACAUUAUGUUGUAUGUAAAAAAUCCUAAAUAGGCUCAGCGCCCAGAGCUCAGCGGCUAGGGCGCCAGCCACAUACACUAGAGCUGGCACGUUCGAAUCUAGCAUGGGCCAAACAACAAUGACAACUACAAUAAAAAAAUAGCCAGGCAUUGUGGCAGGCACCUGUAGUCCCUGCUACUUGGGAGGCUGAAGCAAGAGAAUCGCUUGAGCCCAAGAGUUUUAGGUUGCUGUGAGCUGAUGCCUUGGCAUUCUACCAAGGGCGAUAGCUUGAGACUCUGUCUGGAAAAAAAGAAAGAAAGAAAAUCCUAAGUAAUCACUAAAAAACUAUUAAAUCAGUAAAUAAAUUUAGCAAGAUAAGAGAAUAUAAGAACUAUAUGCAAAAAAUCAGCUGUAUUAAAAAAAUCAAUUGUAUUUCUAUACAACAGCAAAUCAAUGACGUCAAAAGGACAUUUAAAAAAUAUAUUUAUUAAUUCAAAAAGAAUAAAAUACUUACAAAUAAAUUUUAUUUAAAUAGUGCCAAACUUGUAUUCUGAAGACUAGACAACAUCAUUGAAAAAAAUUAAAGAAGAGUUAAAUAAAUAUGAAGACAAGCCAUGUUUACAGACUGGAAGACUUAAUGUUGUUUAGAUGAAAUUGUCCCCAAAAUUAAUUUAUAGGUUCAGUGCAAUCCUACCAAAAACCUCAUCUCGAUUUUUUAGUGGAAGUUGACAAGUUAAUCAUAAAAUUUUAUAGAAAUGCAAGGGACCAAGAAGGUAAAACAAUUUUGAAAAAGGAAAACCCACGAAGGUGGAGGACUCACACUUUCCCAUUUCGAAGUUCACUAUACCACAAAGCUACAAAUACAAAGACAUUUUUCAUACUAGCACCAAUGUAGGCGGGUAGUUCAGUGGAACAGAACUGAGAGUUCAGAGAUAAAUCUUCAUAUUCGCAUUUGCUUGACUUUUGACAUGAGUCCCCAAACGAUUCAAUUUGAGAAAAGAAAUAUCUUCUCAAUAAAUGGUGCUGGAACAACUGGGUAUGCACAUUCAAAAUGCACCAUACAGGGCGGCACCUGUGGCUCAGUGAGUGGGGUGCCAGCCCCCUAUACCGAGGGUGGUGGGUUCGAACCCAGCCCUGGCCAAACUGCAACAACAAAACAAAAAGUGCACCCCAGAGAAGUUUGACUCAAAAUGGAUCAUGUAAGAGUUAAAACUAUAAAACUUGUAGGAGAAAAUAAAA